UGCUAGGUUCGGGGGGAGCCCGACGAGACGCGCCGUACCGGGAUGCAGGCAAAGACGACGCACC
rnacentral:ncRNA from 1 species